rnacentral:lncRNA from 1 species
CAAGACCUCAAUUCUUUGGAGAAAAAUGGAUGAAGUUCCAGGGAUGGAACCCGAGUGAUCGCUAAGACAAUUCAUACAUUUUUCCCACCUUAGGAUAACGGAUUUAGGAUUAGACAAACAAUCUCAGCUGCUUCAAUCAGACUCACUUCCUUUCAUUCAGAUGGAAGAUGGGGAAACACAAUGCUAUAUACUUUGGAAUAUUGCAUGGGCUCGUAAUCAGCAUACUUAAUUUCAAGCCAUUCCUUGGCCACUCAAUGGCCACUACUAAAUCACACAACCCACCCAACUGGAGAAUUAAAUUAAAUAUCUCGAGCGAUUUAAUGAACAUGCAUUUGUGGCCACAAAAAUGAAGAUACAAAUAAGUGCUGGAUAUUAGACCUUCAUCAGACACAUAGACCAGUGGAACAGAAUAGAGAAUCCAGAAAUUAGAUCACACACCUUCAACCUUCCGAUCUUCGACAAACCUGACAAAAACAAGCAAUGGGGAAACAACUCCCUGUUCAAUAAAUGGUGCUGGGAGAACUGGC